AUUCUCACAGCGCCACUGUCUCAGUUUUUAAGAGGAAUCUGAUAAUACUGGGUGUCCUUUGAGAUGGAGGCCGGCGCUCUGAGCACUGCCAAAAGCUUUGCUCAAUCUAACCAGGGGAGCAGAUGGUCAGGUCCACCACAGGUCGAGGAUGUCGGGGUCCAGGAUUCACAGCCAGCAGCAUGUGGAGCGCAUGUGGCAAUAAAGGAUUUGUUUCUGAAAGACACAUGGAAAAAAACAUCAUCAGGGGUUGAUGAUGCCAAACUCAGGGACACUGGCAAAAGUGGCUGAGGAGAACAGGAGAAGCCCAGCUGAUUGGAAACAUCUGGGUGAUUGUAGGGUGCACUCCCACAUCAUCCAGCGCUGGCUGAGAUUUGACAGUGCCCUCUGAAGUGACA
ensembl:lncRNA